rnacentral:rRNA from 1 species
UAAGUAGAUAGUGAAAUCUGGUGGCUCAACCAUUCAGACUGUUAUCUAAACUGGUUAUCUCGAGAGCGCUAGGGGUAGCUGGAAUUUCUAGUGUAGGAGUGAAAUCCGUAGAUAUUAGAAAGAACACCGAUAGCGUAGGCAGGCUACUGGGACGUUUCUGACACUAAGGCACGAAAGCGUGGGGAGCAAACGGGAUUAGAUACCCCGGUAGUCCACGCUGUAAACGAUGGAUGCUA